UACGGAGGGGGCUAGCGUUGUUCGGAAUUACUGGGCGUAAAGCGCGCGUAGGCGGAUCUGACAAGUCGGGGGUGAAAUCCCGAGGCUCAACCUCGGAACUGCCUUCGAUACUGCGGGUCUCGAGUCCGGGAGAGGUGAGUGGAAUUCCUAGUGUAGAGGUGAAAUUCGUAGAUAUUAGGAAGAAACACCAGUGGCGAAGGGCGGCUCAC
rnacentral:rRNA from 1 species